CCACUCCCGCAUGAAGACCUACUUGAUCACAUCACUACUGGCUUAGAUGAUGAUUAUCGCCCGGUUGUGGAACUUGUCAAUGGAAGAGAAACUCCAAUAACCAUUGAAGAGCUACAUGAGAAACUUCUCAACAGAGAGA